AAAAAAUGUCAAGUAAAUUCUAUGAUGCACAUGCAGUCUUAGCAUACACAUUAGGGUAAAUCUGUUGCAGUUUUUCAGGUUAACUCUUAUACAUUUCUUUUUCACAGCAGAAAUGUUUCUUACAAAAAAUAUAAAAAAAAAGAAAAGAAAUGGGCUACAUCAAAAUAUAAAUCUGUCCCCAAUGAUAUUCUGCUGUGAACCUCACCUUUAUUACAUGUGACAUAUAUGUGGCAGUGCAGGCACUGUAUUGCAAAGGAGAGUUGAAGGAUUCAGACAGAGUCACAAAGUACCAUGGAGCAAACUGAAGGGAGUGUGUGUCAUACUGAAGGAGGGAGCACUGCAUGACGGUGACCCACAGGACACUGGUUUCCUAAUUGAAGGUGUGGAAGUCCUCAGUGACUUGAGUAGCAUUGUGCAGGCUUGUGCUCUGUUAUUUGGGCUGAUAUAUUGUUUGAACCUGAGCUACUCACCAGAGCUCAGAUGCACUUUUGAAGACAUGCAGAAGAUCCUUCUAAAUCUAAAUGGACAGAGGUUGUCAUCCAAGGCACAGCUCAACAACAAACUUUUGGAGAUAAUGACCUUGAAAAAGACAGAAAAGUUAAACAAAAUGCACUUGGAGUUCCUUAUGUAUAUGGACAACUUUUUUUGCCACCGUUCCUCCAAACAAGCAACUGGAGCAAUUGAGCUUGAAUAGGACUGGUGUACUUCAGGAAGAUGCACAUUUGUAGUUCGAUAGAAACUCUUUUUAGACCACUGUUAUUCAUGGCACAGUUACUUUAAACAGGGUGCUGGAGAAAGUGAGUAGAAGCAGUUGUAACACAUUUACAAAUAUUUUCUGGGAGUGAUUUUCUUAUUUUCAGAUGUAAUGCAA